rnacentral:rRNA from 1 species
AACGAACGCUGGCGGCAGGCUUAACACAUGCAAGUCGAACGCACUCUUCGGAGUGAGUGGCAGACGGGUGAGUAACGCGUGGGAAUCUACCCAUCUCUGCGGAAUAGCUCCGGGAAACUGGAAUUAAUACCGCAUACGCCCUACGGGGGAAAGAUUUAUCGGGGAUGGAUGAGCCCGCGUUGGAUUAGCUAGUUGGUGGGGUAAAGGCCUACCAAGGCGACGAUCCAUAGCUGGUCUGAGAGGAUGAUCAGCCACAUUGGGACUGAGACACGGCCCAAACUCCUACGGGAGGCAGCAGUGGGGAAUAUUGGACAAUGGGCGCAAGCCUGAUCCAGCCAUGCCGCGUGAGUGAUGAAGGCCUUAGGGUUGUAAAGCUCUUUCACCGGUGAAGAUAAUGACGGUAACCGGAGAAGAAGCCCCGGCUAACUUCGUGCCAGCAGCCGCCGUAAGAC